rnacentral:tRNA from 1 species
GCAUUAGUAGCUCAGUCCCCAGAGCGUCG